CGGCGAGUGAAGCGACAAAAGCUCAAAUUUGAAAUCUGGCACCUUCGGUGUCCGAGUUGUAAUUUGAAGAAGGUAACUUUGGUUUUGGCUCUUGUCUAUGUUCCUUGGAACAGGACGUCACAGAGGGUGAGAAUCCCGUGCGAUGAGAUGCCCAAUUCCAUGUAAAGUGCUUUCGAAGAGUCGAGUUGUUUGGGAAUGCAGCUCUAAGUGGGUGGUAAAUUCCAUCUAAAGCUAAAUAUUGGCGAGAGACCGAUAGCGAACAAGUACAGUGAUGGAAAGAUGAAAAGAACUUUGAAAAGAGAGUGAAAAAGUACGUGAAAUUGUUGAAAGGGAAGGGCUUGAGAUCAGACUUGAUAUUUUGUAUGUUUUACUUUCGGGUGGAGCCUCUACAGUUUAUCGGG
rnacentral:rRNA from 1 species